rnacentral:sRNA from 1 species
UUUUGCUAUCUGCGAUGGAAGAUUCGAACCUGCCGCAGGUUCGGGUCUCACGUAGUGAGACAACGGAGCCGUGCGGCGACGGCCCGAAGGGCGACGAAUCCUUAUCCUGCACGACCCACCA